UACGGAGGGUGCAAGCGUUGUCCGGAUUUAUUGGGUUUAAAGGGUGCGUAGGCGGCUUUUUAAGUCAGUGGUGAAAUCCUGCAGCUUAACUGUAGAACUGCCAUUGAUACUGGAAGGCUUGAGUACAGACGAGGUAGGCGGAAUUGAUUGUGUAGCGGUGAAAUGCAUAGAUACAAUCAAGAACACCGAUUGCGUAGGCAGCUUACUAGGCUGUAACUGACGCUGAGGCACGAAAGCGUGGGGAGCGAACAGG
rnacentral:rRNA from 1 species